AUUGAACGCUGGCGGCGUGCUUAACACAUGCAAGUCGAUCGGUAACAGGUGUAGCAAUACAUGCUGACGAGAGGCGGACGGGUGAGUAAUGCUUGGGAAUCUGCCUAUUAGUGGGGGACAACCCGGGGAAACUCGGGCUAAUACCGCAUACGCUCUACGGAGGAAAGCCGGGGACCGCAAGGCCUGGCGCUAAUAGAUGAGCCCAAGUCGGAUUAGCUAGUUGGUAGGGAACGGCCUACCAAGGCGACAAUCCGUAGCUGGUCUGAGAGGACGACCAGCCACACCGGAACUGAGACACGGUCCGGACUCCUACGGGAGGCAGCAGUGGGGAAUAUUGGACAAUGGGGGCAACCCUGAUCCAGCGACGCCGCGUGGGUGAAGAAGGCCUGCGGGUUGUAAAGCCCUUUCGGUGGGGAAGAAAAGUCUCGACCUAAUACGUCGGGACCUUGACGUAACCCACUAAAGAAGCACCGGCUAACUCUGUGACAGCAGCCGCUGUAAU
rnacentral:rRNA from 1 species